AGAAAGACGUAGGAUCCAGCCAGGAUCGAGUCAGGAGGCAGAAACCACACCAGGAAUUUGAACAAGGAAAAUUCAAUAUAAAGAACAGCUAGCUACUACGUGGAGGCUAACUGUUAAGAGAGGUAAGUGGAACCCUAAAGGAUACAGAAAUAAGGGAUAAAGGGAGCAGCAGCUACCUCCAGAGAUGACAGAAGAACCCACGGAAGGAUAAACUUGGAAAAGGCGCUCCCUCCCCGCCAAAGCUGAUGCUCGCAACUCAUUGGUAGGGGCGUGGUGGGGGCUUGCUGGAUGGCAGAGAGGUUUGCUGAGGUGCUGCAAGCUGGGGUUGGCAAGCAGGAGACUGUGCUGGGUGAUGACAAAAUCUGACUGGAAGCCGCCCACUGGCAGCUGUGCUGUACGAGCCACAAGAAAAGCGCUGCAGCGGGGAAGGCCCUGCAGUGUUCCUCCCGCCCCCUCCCCGGGGAGGCCAAAGCAUGGCUCUGGCUGGCCGGGUCACAGAGCAGCGCAGAGUCGGUGUACGGAGAGCAGACCAGCACCAACAGCUGGCAUACACCCCAGCGUCGUUCUCAUAAUUAAAUAAGUUUUAACAGGGACUCGUUCCUAUUUACGUAUUUAUGCACUUAGAGCAGAGCGGUACCAAGCGGGCUGUGGUGAGGGCAGCCCUGUACUCCUGGUUGCCCGUGGAUCCACUGUGACGAACAGCGCCCCCUUUCGCUCGCAAACACGUCCCUGUUCGGAGGACACAGUACGUGGUCACACUAACUCUUGACAUCAUUUUCUAUCCAAAUCCUCCCACCCAUAGUAGCUAGAAACACAACAACACACAGGUCUGCUUGAAGGCAGGCCAGGUUUUGGGGGGCCAAGAUUUGGGGAGAAGAGAAGUGCACUGAGACGAGCGAGGCAGCCUGAGCUGCUUCCUUCUUGAAGCGUUGGCCGGUUCGUAGGUGGGAGAAAGUAAGGGGCUGAAAAGCUGAGCUGAAAGCAGUAGUUCUCAAGAGCAACAUAUAAUUUUAAAAAUGUAUGUCGGAGUCUGUCUAAAAGAGCUCUUUUAACAAGUAUAGAAUAAAACGUCUGACAUGAAAGCUCACUUUUAAAAUGCUGCACAAAAUAAUGAUACAUUUUACAGGUUAGAGCAACUUAGAGUUGAUGAAAUACCAUAUAUUUGUUCACACAUAUGAAUGUCUCUAUAGGAGAUUCCUAGAAGUGGAACUGUUGGGUCAAAUGACAUAUAUUCGAUAGAUUCUGCUAAACUGUCUUCAAAACAAAACUGAACAAAACUGAACAAUGUCCAUUUCCUCACACGAUUCCCUACAUUGGGUGCGGCCGAUCUUUAAAAAUUUUUUCUCUUCUGACAGGCUCUCACCGUGUCUAUAUUUAAGCUUCAAUUCAGAGUGAAGGGAGUCUGUGUUUCCCCAAAUUAUCAUCAAGCUCCAUGUAGAAUUGCUUCAAAUCUGCAUCACCCUUUCCUAGAGCUUUCUCCUCCGAAGGGAAAAACAGAGGGUCCUUUCUGGUGAGGGUCAUGGACUCUUCGGAUAGGAAGGGAUCUUAGACGCUGCCACAUCCUAGGGGUUCUGAAAGCUGUUCGAGAUGGUCCUCACUGUUACAGGGGCAGAGGAUCUUUUCACUUACUGCUUAGAAGAAGAAUAAUUAAAAUAGUUCUUCAGACAACCUCUUGCCCCAUGAACAUGGAUCACUCUGGGAGCCUCUGAAUGCCUGUUGCCCAGCACCUGCAGUGGUCCUUGAACACCAGAGGUGUGCAUACGACUCAGUUGCAGAGGUGGGUCCCAGGUGUGCGUUUUGACUCCUCUACAGUGACUUUUUAAAAUCAUAUACUCCUUCAUGUAUAAUCAAAAUGGAACAUUGGCUAAAAAUAGGCAAUAUAAAAAUUUUGCUGAAAUAAAGUAAAAGAAGACCAUAAAUUGAAAAUUCUACAAAUUUGGCUCAAGAUGAUCUUCAUUCACUAGAUGUGCAAAUUGCCUUCGGCUGAUCAAAAUGUUUAUCUUCUAUGUCAGAAACAAAAAUCAAAAAGAGAAAAUAUAGUGAUCAUUAUAUCCGAUUUGGCCUUUUAUUAUUAGGAAUAAAGACUAGCCAUACCCACUUCAUGUUAUUUGCAGAAUGGCACUUGCAUAAAGCAUCCAGAACCCUUCUGUUUUAGCUCAUAAUUUAGACACAAAACCAUGAAAGUAGUAAAAAUAAACCAUUUUAAAGUGCAAAAAGCAUAAAUUCUAAACAUUCAUUUAGGAAAGCAGUUUGUGUCUAUUUUUCAUGCUACAAUGAGUCAUUAAAUUUCAUACAUUUUAAUAUACAUUUGUUUUACGACCAAUAUGAUACAAGUUCUUUUAAAAGCCAUUUGUUAGCAAAGCAUGCUUUUCCUUGACAUAAUUAAUUAAAGGGAAAUUAAACAUUUUGCAUUGCACGGUAAAUGGAAAAAGGUUAAGACAAGUCUUAUACUAUGUAUAUUAUUCAAGAUUAUUCUAACAUUAGACAUAUAUCUAAAAGUUUUAUUUUAAAAACCACUUCAUUACAAAUUAAUAAAUGAUUAAAUAGUUGCAGGGUGUUGUCAAGUGUAUACAUGGUAAAAGAAAUUCUCCAGUCAGGAUAAGCUAAAAAGUUCUUAUCUGGUGUAGACCCCUCAGUUUAUAAAUCAGGCAACUUAUGCCCAGAAAGAGUAAGAGACUUACUUAAGAUCACACAGCCAGGAGGGCCACAGCUCAGACUCUUAGUUCAUUUCUAUUCAGGGUUAGAAUAUAUGAGGUUAAGUGAUUUGAAGUUCUCAGGAAACUUACUGGUUCUUGCUGAAAAAUUUCUCUGGUAGCAGAGGGUCUGACACUGCCCUCUCUAGGUUCGGCGUUGCCCCCACUAGUUUCCUCUUUAGAACCCCAAUUUCCUUGGAAUAGACUAUUUUAGCUCCCAAAGGCUGUGUCAAGUGCUGCCUUUCCCUCACCUUUAUAGCCUGUUUCAUAUUUUGGGAGGCACUUAUUUCAAAGGCUGACUCUCUGCUGCCUUUGAUUUGCCCUGGACUUGACAAUGCAUGCUCCAAGAAGCCCUACUCCCGGGAGUUCCCUUGUGGUGCAGGGGGUUGAGGACCUGGCAUUGUCACUGCAGUGGCUUGGGUCGCUCAUGUGCUGUGGGUUUGAUCCCUGGCCUAGAGGAAAAACAAAAGACUAAUCCUGGCAUGUUGUAAUAGUUCUGCAUCCCACCACCUGCCUCCUGGGAUCUUGCAGGGGUGCUGACCACUUCUUUUCUGAGCUCCUGCUCUGGAUGUGCAUCUCUCAUAGUUUACAAAACCAUCGGGAGAGGCUUACCUGUCUCUGGGUGUAUAACCCAGUCGCACAUGGCAUGGAACUUCCUAAAACACACCACCUUCAGGAGGCCUCUACCUUACAGAGAACCUAUGCCUGUCUCCUCAUCAUCUGCCCAAUCACUCUAAUCCCUUCUGAAUUUCAAGGCUUUCUACAAUCCCACUGCUCUGCACUCAUCACCCUAACACAACCUGUUAAGGUGCGCAAGUCACCAUAAAGGUGAUUAUGCAUCAUCUUUGUUCUGCCCUCAUCAUCUGCUUAUGCUGGUUCCAAAAAACAUAGUGUUCUGUUGUUGGCUCUUCUGGCUCUCCCAGGAAAGCAGAGGUCACCAAGCAGGGUGACCAGCAUACCAACAGAGGCCCAAGAGACAAUCCUGGCAACCCCAGAGGAAGAGAGAGAGGGGAUGGUGGUUACUUUGUGGAGGUGGUUGCAGCUACCCUCCCUGAGGGAUGCGGGUUGGCAGCAGAAUUAUCAAAUGGGGACAGUAGGCACAGCACCUAGGCUCUGCAAAAAUGUUUGCAUUAAAAAAAUUUUUUUUGAAAUCAGAAAAAAAAAAAAAAGUAACAAGAGAUCCAAGCUGGAUUAUAGUUGUCUUUGUUUUGCAGUUGUAAACAUUUAAAACAUUUUUUUUUUUCUUUUUGAUGGAGGAAGCGGCCCACAAGGACAAAAGUGCCUAGGGUACUGGACAGUCAUAAUUGGGCCCUGGGUACAGUGUUUACCCUUUCUGGUUUUUAAAAAAGGAAUGUAUUUCCACAUAUUUGCAUGGGACCUCUUGAUUUUAAAUGCUAGUAGCUCGCUUUAAAAUUAAACAAAACAUGCACACUGUGGCCCAACAAAACAUGUGGAGCUUAGCCUGCAACCUGAGGAAGGCUUGGGCUAUCAUCGUGUUCCUGGAAUGCCCAUGGCUUGACACGAUUUCAAGGACACGUCUUCAGCCUGAGUGCCCCAAGCACCCUGCUCAGGAUGGAAGAAAGGGUAGCAGAAAGCUUUUGGGGCAGGACAAGGACAUGAUGGCUGACCGCCUGCCGCUCCCAGGCCGCCCCACCCGCUGGCGCGGGCUUCGCUCAUUCUGGGUUUUCCCGCUCCCGCCGACUUUCCCGCGCGGCGCGGAAGAGGGGAGGGGAUCCCCCAGCUCACGGGUCAUGCGAGGGUGCGGGGCAGGGGCGGCCGCCCCGGGCAUCUGCGGUCUCUGAAGCCGAGGCCUCCCCGCUCGGUCCCACCCCUCGCAACAAGGCCCACCGCCGGCCUCCGCCUGGCUCCUGGGCUAGGUCCGCUGCUCGCGGGGUCCGCUCUCGGAGGAAAAGUUCCACACGGAGGAUGCGGCGCUGGUUUCAGCCUGCAGCGUCCGAGGCUCCUCCUCCCGCGCUGCCGAGGGAGGCGGGCUGCGCUCUUUUCCGGGCCCUGCCACACAAUGUUGCCUUCAGGGAGGGAGACCUUCGCAGCCUUUCUGCAUUCCCUCCCUCCGCCCGGGGGUGUGGGGCCGGAAGCUGCGGCGUCUCGGGUCGGGGUUUGCUCCCGCCGAGCCUUGAGCCGUUGGUGCGCAUGCUCUGUGGAGGCCCGCACAGGCCCUGAGUGAACUCUGAUAGAGCCUUCGCAAGGCGGGGUAAGCGGAGCUCCAGUGGCGCAAUCGGUUAGCGCGCGGUACUUAUACGGCAGUACAUGCAGAGCGAUGCCGAGGUUGUGAGUUCGAGCCUCACCUGGAGCACGACCCUUUUGUAUACCCGCAUCUCGCUUUUAUCUCCUUGCUUAAGGAAUCUCGUCAGUCUUUUCUUUAGCUUCCUCAGUUCCUGUCUCUGACUCGCUGCCUACCAGUCCUGCUUCUAGGCAGACAGGAAGCUUUGGCGCUUCUUACUCUCUUUCCAAGCUACUUGUUGUCGCCGCUCACCACCUAGCCGCUGGAACCAGACAUUUGCAUCCUGCUCCCUCGUCCUAGGCAUGUCCUUUAACGGCCCCCAACUCUUGGUCCCGGUACCGGUGAUGCAGACAGGAGGUCCCGGGGCGCUGCACCGGUGCUGGGGUCCUCCCUGGGCCUCGGUCACUGAAGAUCCCAGGCGCCCUCUCUAUGGGUCGUGCCUGAGCUCCCGGCUCAGGUUCCCGGCCGCUGCCCGAGCCGGACCACCUCUCCGGGGAGCUGGAGCCCGAGGCCCAGAGCAGGGGCUCAAGGCGAGCGGUCGCUCUCCUCGCUUUUAACUACUACUAACUCGUCAUGGCCCCCUCCCUCCGACGUGCAGAGCCGCUAGACCGCAGGCUCUUCUCCCCUAUCCAGGCCCCAGGCCUCCAAGGCUCCCUGGGCGGACUUGCAGAGCUUGGGAAAAGUGCCUGGGCCGCUCCCUCCCCCUCCCCUGCGCCCCUUCUCCCGCGUGUCAGUCAGGAGUGGUGGAAUUUGCUGGCAGACCGGAGAACAGACGUUUUCUAGGGAUAUCCGAGCGGCGGGUGUCCUCUCAUGCUUGCCACCGUCCCAGGUUCAGAAGUCCUCCCGGGGAGCAGGAAAUCGGCCAGCACGCGAACACUCCUCGGAGGCGCGGGGGCUGCUUUGCCAAGGGGUGGGUGGGUACUCCACAUUCCCAGGAGGCAGGGCCAAGUAGGGAACAAGCUUAGUGGGGAUGAGAGGCCUCCUGGACGCGUUCUCCGGCAAGAGUGGUUUCAGCUGUUUUUUUGGACGUGCUAGUAGUUAACUCAUGGGAUAGAAAUACUACCGGGAGUGGUGAGAAACAAGACCUAGAAAGCUCAGAGAAAAGCAGAUGGAGAGUGGAGCUCUUGUCUGUCUUCUCGGCUCCUAACGGCAGCCCCAGAUUCGCAAUGAAGAGCCCCACGCCACAUGAAAUGUGAGCAAGUCCACCCACCUCAUCUACCCUGGCGGCCAGUUCCUCGUUGGACCAGAUCCCUUCUAUCAUAAGCUCCUCCUCAGCACAUGGUUAUUACUGGAAUGCUGGUGGUUUGGGCAACUCUUUUUCUGGUGAGAUGGUGCAGUGGGAAGGGACAUUGACUAUUUGAAGAGCAAACAACCAAGAUAAAAUCUUAAAAGCAGGCAGAGAGAAAAGAUACAGAAGACUCACACUGACUUCUCAAGUGAAACAAUGGAAGCCAAAAGACAAUAAAGUAAUAUCUUCAAAGCCCUGAAAGAGAAUAACUACGAGUGGAAGUCUAUGCAAGCACAGAUAUCCUUCCAAAAUAAAGAGGAAAUAAAUACACUUUUAGAAAAACAACGCUUGAGAAAUCUCAUCACCAGCUGACCUGCACAAAAGGAAAUCCUAAAGGGUGUUCUUCAGGCAGAAGGAAAAUAAACUCAAAUGUAAUCUGGGAGAUGCAGGAAGGAAUGAAGAACAAUAGAAAAGGUACAUCCCACUUCCAGCGGGUUGUCCCUCGGUGCUGGCUUGGCUUCUUGGGAAAAGAGUGAAGAAUCAGAGCCUACACGCUGCUGCUGAGCUCCACAGCCUCCAUCUUGCCUCCUCCUGUUUAGACGAUGCGGGUCCUAGUUCUGGGAAGCCCUUCCACCGGCAGAUCGCAGAGCCUCUCUGAACUUCAGGCUCCUCAUCUAUAAAAUGGACCUCCCAAGGUGGUGGUUUAGUGCUGUCAGGGACAUGUUGGCAGGAGGACCGUGUGAGCUGUUGUAUCCACAGUAGCCUGGAAAGGGUGAGGGCAAAGGGCUGGGGGACCGGUCAGAAGGCACCUACCACAAUCCAGGUAGGAGGUGACAGUGCUGCAGCCAGGCUGCACGGCGAAGGAUGGGAGGGGCCCCCGGAGAAACCUGAAUCAGGUACCACAGUAACGGGGAACGUGGAGGAGGGCGUGAUUCACUCCAAGGCCGCUUUCCCAGGGGAUGUGACUCAGGCAGGAUUUUGAAAAAUGAGCAGUUCAGCAGGCACUCAAGAGGGUGAGAACAUUCCAACACCGGUGUGCCGGGGCCCCAUUGAGAGGGAGCCAGGCCUGUUUGGGGACCUAUGAAGCAGCAUCACAUCAGAGCAGAAGGGUCAGGGGAGGCCAGAUGGGGAAGGAGCUCGCCGCUCUGCCAAGGGUGUUGUCCUCUGGGCGCCAGGGAGUUCAGGAAGAAUUUUAAGCCUGGGGGCCGGUGGUGCUUAAGACCUAAAACUUGCUAUUAAGAAAAGUCCCGUGGUCACCAUGAACGGCCUGGGGGGAGGUGGCAGGGAAAACCCAGAGGGGAAGCAGAAAAUGAGGGCUGACCCGGGGCAGUGGGAGAGAGGGAAGGAGGCAUGAGAACCGUUUAGGGAGAAGAGAGGAUCAGGGCCGUGUGGGUUUGGGGAAAGAGGAGCAGGCUGUUUUGAGGAAGAGAAUGAGUCAUGUGGGGGCCGGCUGAAUUGGAGGAUCCGCUGGGGGAUCAGACAGCCAAGCCCCAGAGCAGCCAAUGUUGGAGUCUGGAGCUCAGCGGAGGGGACUUGGGUCCAGAAGCCUCAAGGGACAGGUGGCAUUUAAGCUGUGGAAGGCCACCAGCUAAAAGGCAUCUCCAGAUUUUUACCUUUAGUAAGAUCUGAAUAGAGGUAUAUUUCCCUCCUCUUUGCCUCUUUCCCAAGGCCUUUGAGAGAUACAGUGAGAAAAACAUUCUUGAGGGUAAAGAGGAGGGAUCCAGGAGGGGAUCCUCCUAGGGCAGCACGGAGGAAUCCCUGGGCUGGUCCCACUUCACCCCACGGUGUCUGCGGGCAGAGGGGCCUGGAUAGGCAGGGCUCUUGGUAUCCAUUGUCCGUGGGUCUCUGCAUGCAGAUAUGUAAAGUUAUGUGUUUUCAUCUCCCCGUGAUUCCUGUUUUCCUGCAGCCCUUCCCGCUGAGGCGUAUGGCCCAAUGAAGUUGGAGGGGUGAAUUCGAAGCAAGACCUCAAGCAGGGGGUGAAGCGGACAUGAUGUAGAGAAGCUGCUGCUGAUGGCAAUGGGACCAGAAAAGGGGGGCCUAAGGAAGAGAGAACAUGAGAAGCAAAAAGGGCAGCCCCUUAACCUUCAACCUCAGAGGCUCGUGUGGGAGAAACCCAGUCAGGUCUGAGGGGAGAUCUCACAGCAAGGGGGUGGGUGGGACUUGACUCAGAUUGCAGUGGGGAGAAAUUUUAAUGACACCCCCUCCCUAGCAAACCAGCGAUGCAAGAUGGUGCCAGCACAAUAUGGUGCCAAUCAGGAGGUGGUUUGGAAUGGCUGAGGAAGGGAGUCUGGGAAGUGGCUUCAUGCAACGCUGCUCGUUCUAGUGAGAAUGCAGCCAGGUAGUCCUAGGUCCCAGGGGCCGCAGAGCCAAGAUCUGCCUCACCAGCUAUGUGCAGGGACCAUGCACUUUGGCUUCACCUCUUCCUGCCCCUACCCCACCAGCAAGCCCCAGGGACCAGAACCAUCUCUGUCCUGCGUGUGUGUGUGUGUGUGUGUGUGUGUGUGUGUGUGUAAGAAUGCAGGGGACUCCACUCAGACCUUCAACCCUCUUGUCCCACCACCGUGAGGCCCAUGAACAUCUCUCUGCACCAGGAAAUUAUCUUGGCUGGGAGAAGGCGGAAGGGUGAGAAAACCUUGGAAUACUGAGCAAUUUUACUCAAAAGAGACUGAGUUAAUCAUACAGAAAUGGAGCUAUGUCUAAGGGGCAAUUUAAUGCUUUCUUUUUGUUUGUUUUCUUUUUGCCCGUCAGUAGUAGGAAUUAUCAGAUCACGAUGAGAAGAGUAUAAGAAAAAGUAAGAACAAUACUGAUUUGACCCAUCUGGGUAGGUGUGUGUGUGUGAUCUUUAGCCCUCCCACAAUUAUGUCUGUACACGUUUGCUGGGGCAACUGUAUAUUUUCAAUUCCAAUCGUCAGACCUUUCCUUGAAGCUCACGUGUGUUUUGAUCUGGCCAGGAAUUGAGAAUCAUAAAAUCAUUAAAUCUGUAUUAAUUACCUAUUGCUGCAUAGUAAGUUAAUCCAAAAUUUAGCUGAAAUAAAUAUGUAUUAUCUCACA